GACGAACGCUGGCGGCGUGCCUAAUACAUGCAAGUGGGACGCAAGGGAACACACUGUGCUUGCACACCGUGUUUUCUUGAGUCGCGAACGGGUGAGUAACGCGUAGGUAACCUGCCUAUUAGCGGGGGAUAACUAUUGGAAACGAUAGCUAAUACCGCAUAAUAUUAAUUAUCGCAUGAUAAUUGAUUGAAAGAUGCAAGCGCAUCACUAGUAGAUGGACCUGCGUUGUAUUAGCUAGUUGGUAAGGUAAGAGCUUACCAAGGCGACGAUACAUAGCCGACCUGAGAGGGUGAUCGGCCACACUGGGACUGAGACACGGCCCAGACUCCUACGGGAGGCAGCAGUAGGGAAUCUUCGGCAAUGGACGAAAGUCUGACCGAGCAACGCCGCGUGAGUGAAGAAGGUUUUCGGAUCGUAAAGCUCUGUUGUAAGUCAAGAACGUGUGUGAGAGUGGAAAGUUCACACAGUGACGGAGCUACCAGAAAG
rnacentral:rRNA from 1 species